rnacentral:rRNA from 1 species
AACGAACGCUGGCGGCAUGCCUAAUACAUGCAAGUCGAACGACCGGAGCAAUCCGGGAGUGGCGAACGGGUGAGUAACACGUGGGAACCUGCCCAGCGGUGGGGAACAACCGAGGGAAACUUCGGCUAAUACCGCAUACGCCCUUACGGGGAAAGGUUUAUCGCCGUUGGAGGGGCCCGCGUCCGAUUGACUAGUUGGUGAGGUAACGGCUCACCAAGGCGACGAUCGGUAACUGGUCUGAGAGGAUGAUCCGCCACAGUGGGACUGAGACACGGCCCAGACUCCUACGGGAGGCAGCAGUGGGGAAUAUUGGACAAUGGGGGGAACCCUGAUCCAGCCAUGCCGCGUGUGUGAAGAAGGCCUUAUGGUUGUAAAGCACUUUAAGCGAGGAGGAGGCUACUUUAGUUAAUACCUGGAGAUAGUGGACGUUACUCGCAGAAUAAGCACCGGCUAACUCUGUGCCAGCCGCCGCAGUAA